CUACGGGAGGCAGCAGUAAGGAAUAUUGGGCAAUGCCCGUAAGGGUGACCCAGCAACGCCGCGUGGAGGAUGAAGGCCGUAAGGUUGUAAACUCCUGUUAGAGGAGAAGAAUAGUACCGGUUGGACCGGUAUAUGACUGUACCCUCAGAGAAAGCCCCGGCUAACUACGUGCCAGCAGCCGCGGUAAUA
rnacentral:rRNA from 1 species